AACGAACGCUGGCGGCAGGCUUAACACAUGCAAGUCGAACGCGUGUAGCAAUACACGAGUGGCGCACGGGUGAGUAACGCGUGGAUAUCUGCCUUUUGGUUCGGAGUAACCCCGGGAAACUGGGGCUAAUACCGGAUGGUUCCUUCGGGAUAAAGAUUUAUCGCCAAAAGAUGAGUCCGCGUCCGAUUAGCUAGUUGGUGAGGUAAUGGCUCACCAAGGCGACGAUCGGUAGCUGGUCUGAGAGGACGAUCAGCCACACUGGGACUGAGACACGGCCCAGACUCCUACGGGAGGCAGCAGUGGGGAAUAUUGGACAAUGGGGGCAACCCUGAUCCAGCCAUGCCGCGUGAGUGAUGAAGGCCUUCGGGUUGUAAAGCUCUUUUGGCGGGGACGAUGAUGACGGUACCCGCAGAAUAAGCCCCGGCUAACUUCGUGCCAGCCGCCGCCGUAACAC
rnacentral:rRNA from 1 species